UUUUUUUUCUCUUUUUCUUCCCCCAGGUCAUCUAGCUUCAACCUUUUAUUAAAGAUAUGAAGGAAUCAGUAGUGAGAGAAAUUAAAUUCACUUGUCAUCCUUGACUUCCGCAAGUCACAUGAGGGUGAUACCAUACCUACUAACAACUGCUGGCUGGAAGCAUGACUGGAGCAGCAGGAUUCAACAGUGGAAGCCAAUAGUCUACUGUCCAAUAGGCUGCAAAUUUCCACCUGAUUUUAUUGUGUGUUAAAUUUCCCCUUGACAAAAAGGUGUAAGUUCAAAGGAUUGAAUACUGUCCUGCUAUGGAGCAAAUGUUCAAUUUAGACUACUUGGUACUGGCUAACAGGAGUUCACAUCUAAAGUACAGUCCUUGCAGAUGGCAGCCAUCAUUUAAAUUGGUAGUGGGUAAUACUCUGGGAGGUUUCUGAAGGUUUUGAUUCUGCUAAUGGUGAUCUCCUAAACCUGAGGCAUGCGACAGGUAAUGCUACUGGAGUGAUUCAAUAGGAGCUUGCUUUUCAAGACUCCUGCACCAUCCUGGUUUCCUGGUGACCAGCUGUAAACAGUGAGGAAAAUGGUGCAGAACCUGCUGUCUCUCAGGGAUAUACUGAGACACCUGAGCCCAGGUUUUGGUAUGAGUGGCUCUUACGUGUUUUCAUUGGCUGUGUGACUCUAUCCUGAAAUAAGAGUAAUUUGACUCUUAAGCUCUGUGUAGAUAUAAAGUGUCUCAUUUCAGCUUUCAUUAGCUGAGGUUUUUAAUUGGAAAUUUACUAUGCCACUUUACCAGCUUAUGCUUAGCGUUGUUUGGAAUGGGUCUGUCUCACACUCACCAGCAAGUCUGUGUUUAGUUAUAUAGUGUGUAAUUUGGGCUUUUCCUAGAUGGGUUUUAAUUGUAAUUUCCUCAUAAACCCAAAGGUUAAUGAAAUGCAAGAUUCAUUUUUAGGUUUAUUUUAGGAAGUCCUCAUUUGGAUUAUAUGCAUGCAUUUCAAAGACAGUUAUUACUCUUUUGGUCACCAAGCUACCUAGACAGACCAAAA